ensembl:snRNA U6 U6 spliceosomal RNA
AUGCUCACUUCGGCAGCACGUAUACUAAAACUGGAAUGAUACAGAGAAGAUUAGCAUGGCCCUUGUGCAAGGAUGACACAUAAAUUUGUGAAACAUUCCAUAUUUAA